rnacentral:rRNA from 1 species
CAGCCGCCGCGGUAAUACGAAGGGGGCUAGCGUUGUUCGGAAUUACUGGGCGUAAAGCGCACGUAGGCGGAUAUUUAAGUCAGGGGUGAAAUCCCGCAGCUCAACUGCGGAACUGCCUUUGAUACUGGGUGUCUAGAGUAUGGAAGAGGUGAGUGGAAUUCCGAGUGUAGAGGUGAAAUCCGUAGAUAUUCGGAGGAACACCAGUGGCGAAGGCGGCUCACUGGUCCAUUACUGACGCUGAGGUGCGAAAGCGUGGGGAGCAAACAGGAUUAGAUACCCCAGUAGUCCCUGUCUCUUAUAC